AUGCAUGUCUAAGUAUAAGCACUUGUACUGUGAAACUGCGAAUGGCUCAUUAAAUCAGUUAUCGUUUAUUUGAUUGUACUUUACUACAUGGAUACCUGUGGUAAUUCUAGAGCUAAUACAUGCGAAAAAUCCCGACUUCUGGAAGGGAUGUAUUUAUUAGAUUAAAAACCAAUGCGAGUCUUCGGUCUCGUUUUCUUGGUGAUUCAUGAUAACUUUUCGAAUCGCAUGGCCUAGCGCCGGCGAUAUUUCAUUCAAAUUUCUGCCCUAUCAACUGUCGAUGGUAAGGUAGUGGCUUACCAUGGUUAUAACGGGUGACGGAGAAUUAGGGUUCGAUUCCGGAGAGGGAGCCUGAGAAACGGCUACCACA
rnacentral:rRNA from 1 species